CACAAAGUGGCCGCGGCUGUUCCCACCCACAAUCCCAAACCGCAGGCUGUUGGGCCCAGCUCGGCCGGGGGCAGAGGCCGUGGCCAUGCGGAAGAGCGUGAUGGGCGUCUUCAGGUUUGAAGGCAGAGAGAGCUUCUAGGAAGCAUCCGGACCAGCCACACUUGGAGGCCCGAGUGAGGGUGUGCAUGCCUUGGCAGUACUCACAAUGGAGACGUCUUCACGUAGCUCACAUUGCCACUGCCCUCGGGGCACUCGGGGCUGACACACUGGAAGCCUCCACCGGUGUUGAUGCACGUGGUCCCCCGGGGGCACACUGGCUGCAGGCCCGCACAUUCAUCUACAUCUGAGAUACGGGACAUACAAUGGGAAUCAGCCUCAGAAACCUCAACCCAGUUCUCCAGGAGGCCACUGGUGAUGGACAGGAUUUGGCACUGGGGUGAAACCUGAGCCAGUUAUUUUCCAUCUGCACCCCUGUUCCCCAACCCACUCUGCACCUGAGAGGCUGACUGAUUUUCAGCUGGGGUUGGGAAAUGACAGUGACCCAGCCUGAGGAGUCCUGACCUGCCUGGAUGUGGUUCUGGUGGUGGCUGUGUCCUUUACGGCCACAAUCUGUCAUUCUCUGAUAAGCCCCCUCACUCCCUACACCCCUCAAGCCCAGGGGUAGUAAUGCCCCGACUCUUGGCCCCCCCCUGGGUACUCUGUCUCCCUUGUUGUCCUCAGCUAUCAUCAAACAAGUCUGGUGCUAUAGAGCUCGACCUCGCUAAGACAUAAGUGCUUGUAAGGUGCUGCUCCUUUCAGAGGUGGACUUACAGGUCCAUGGGAGCCUCAUGGGUUCCUCCAGAUUACAUGACAUGGAUGACCACCUGGCCAGUCUACCUUUAGGUCCAGCCCUAGCCGAAGGCAUUGUUGAGUGGGUGGAAGUGACCAGAUCUUGAAAAAAAAAAAAAUCCCAGUUACUCAAAUAAAGUCCGAAAAGACUAGUUGCCAGGAUGGUUAAGGAACUCAUUUUCCUAUUUAUGUAGAUGACGACGUGGCCUGAUCUUUGAGAAGCCCUUUGGUUGGUGGCUUUUUAAAAAUUGAAAGUGUCUGAAACUGUGACUCUGCCAACCACCUUACUCCUGAUUGUGAGGUCAUGGGGGUUCACCACAGCAGCAGGUAGCCGGGUGCAGAUGGCACUCUCUCUAGCCUCACUCACCCUCACAGCUCUUCCCGUCCGCCAGGGUUCGGUAUCCGCUGGGGCAGGUGCAGCGGUAAGAGCCCGGGGUGUUCACGCAGGCGUGCAUGCAGAGCCGGGGCCGCCCCUCCUGCCCGUAGAGCUCACACUCGUUCACAUCUGCGGACAGAAGUGCUCACUGUGACUCCAGGAGCCAUGCAGCAGGUGUUGCCAGCUGCGACCCAGAACCCAGAACAGUCGUGCCUCGGUUCCUGGAGGCAAUGGCAGCUGCAGUUAAGUGGCUGGGCCUCAGGCAGCCAUCAUGCCCUACCCGCAGCAGAGCACUCUCGAGAGGAGCAGUGUCCUGGCGGAGCCCGAGCCUACCCUCGCAGACGCUGUCGCCGGCGGCGCCGCUCAAUUGGAAUCCGGCUUCGCAGCUGCAGUGCUGAGCCCGCUCCACCUGAGCACAGCGCGGCGCGCGGCUGAAGGCAGAGUC